GUCCGGGUGGCGGAAUGGUAGACGCGCUAGCUUGAGGUGCUAGUGGUCAUUUUUAAACGACCGUGCGGGUUCAAGUCCCGCUCCGGACACGA
rnacentral:tRNA from 1 species